CAACAGCAGAGACCUGCAGAUGAGAACACCUUUAUGAAGAGCAAGACCAUGCUUUGAAGUUGGGCAGAGAUCUUGGUUCAAAUCCUGGCUCUGCCGCUUGUUAGCUAAGUCACUUCAGGGCUUGUUUCUGAGAGUGUGCACGGAGAUUGAAGGGCAGGGGCUCAUGUGACAGUGUGAAGCAGGAAUUCUGACCGUUGGCCAAACCAAGCCCUGAAACUCAAGUUCUGUUUGGGAGUGAGAGGCAGAAAGCCUUGGAGGCAGCUUCAAUUAGAAGCUAAUUUUACUAAUUAGAAAAUUGGUAUCAGAAGGACGAUUGAACGUGUCCAACGUCACACAGCCAGUAAGGAGAGGGGCCUGGACUGGAGCAGACCUGUCUGAUUCACUCAGACAGGACUGGAGCAGACCCUUGCUUUAUUCACUCAAUAGUUUUUUCCAAAGGCUUUUUAAGAAGAGGACUUUGGAGUUGUAAAGAAUUUAGAUACGUGGAAAUGAGAGAAAGGCCUUCCAGGCAGAGGAAACAGGAUGAACAAAGUCUUGGCAGGAAGCAUGGUUAUGUCCCCUGAAGCCCUGGUCCACAUGAAGCUCUUCCUGCUUUUCUUCAGAGGAAGAUGCAGGAGCUGGUUAAUGGAAUGGAUUUUGCAUUCAGACAUCUCUUGGGGCUGCCUGUAGGUGGAUAUGUUCAUGGAAGACGGUGAAAAAGACAAGAAUAGGAUUUGCUGUAUAGAAUCACUAUAGUCACCAUCACACUGAGUAUCAACAACAUCUCUUGUUAUCCUCACAACUGUGCAAAACAGAUAUCCGACAGAGAGAAAGAGAAUGUGAUUGACUCUUAACUAGAGUCACGCACCACUCUGGAUCAAUCAUCUGAGGCCUGGGAGAAGUGUCAUAACACAGAAUAAAAGCUUCAUGAGUGCAAGAACUACGAUUAUCUUGUAGACAGGGUAGAGGCUAGCCUAAACUAGAUUCCUGUGCACCUCUGCGUGAAUUAGAAAAAAACACCCUCUCCAAAAAGGUGGGUUAGAAAAAGUCACAUCUUCUUGGUAGAUGCCGGUUGCAUGGGUUCAUAGCUUUGACGAGUGGAUUUCAACCCCUCGCUUUUCUUCGGCAUGUCGUACAAGAACUUCAGAAAUAUAUGUUGCAGCCCUGCUUGUCUAGUGCUAUUUGGGAUCACCCCUGGCACAUAGUGAAUGAAUCAAUAUGAUACCGUAAUUGAAUAAGAGGAGACCAUAAUACCCUCUUAGACCUACCAAACAAUCCAUGUUAUACAGCAAUAUCUUAUAUAGGAACAACAACAAUAAAAAACCUUGGAAGGCCUUUGAGACCAACCUUGAUUCCCUUACAGACCAGCUAGAGCCAGUCAGAGGCUCACAGCUGGAACACAACAGCACUUCAAUAGCACAGUAACCAAUUGAGGCUGACUUCUGUGACCUUCUGAUAUUUCAUAAAUGCACCAGCCGCAGGAACUCUUAUUUAAGUACUCCUGUUAGCCUUGUUCUUGCCUACUGACUUUACAGCCCCCUGUACAUGGCUGGGCUAGUGGGACGGAAGCCUUCCAACUGAGCAUCCCUUGCUAGAGGUCCUGUGAGUCCUGACAAAGCCUGUCUCCUGCCUUUUAAGAAUAGCAGAGUCAAAUAAAAUCUUGCCAGUGACUUUGGCCCACGCGUGGAGUGACGCCGACGGAUCUGCCUGAAAUGGAGACAUUAAAGAAUUUUGCAAAGCAAAGAAAAACCCACGGUUGCUUCCAUAAAUCAAAACUUCAAAUAAGAACGCAGCUUUAGCAAUUCAUUCCCUGCAGAAUUAACCUUUGUUUCCCGGCAGGCUGCUUCUAAGAAUAUGCUUCGUGCCUAAAAGGAAAUAGGAGAGCCCUUACAGAAUGGGUUUUAUGUUUACCACGCAGGAGGAAAAGCUGAAAUGAAAGCAAAGUUGAAAAGGAAGCUUGUUUCUAACUAAUCCAGCCUCUAGAUAGAAGUCCUAAGAUGCAAAAGCAAUUAUCAUAUACAUGAAUCUGUGUCCCUACUCACAGAUGCACAAAUGCCACUUCUUCGUCUGCUGUUUCUGUAACUUACUCCUGGCAAGGAUAACAGAGUUCUGGGGACUGGAAAAGGACUCAUCAUCCAGAUUCUUCUCUUCUUUAGGAUUCAACUUGGGACCUCCUCCUGGAAGUCCUCCUGGAUUUGAGAAGUACCCUUCCCCUGUGUCCCCAUAAAACCCUAUGAAUUUCUUUAUUAUUGAAUUUGUCACAUUGUAUUACAGUUAUCUGUUCAUGCGUCAAAGACAAGGGUAUUUUAUUUGACUUUAAAAAAAUCAUUAAAGUCAAAUACUUAGCACAUUGUCUGGAAUAGAAUGACAUCUCAGUAAGGUCUUAAUGAAAUAGUCAAUGGACCAUUCUGUUAACAGUUGCCUAUCGAACUCAUACUAUUUGUUGUCACUCUGCCACACACUAAGACUGUAUACAAGAAAUAUAACAUGUAAUAACAGUGGUUGCUAUCAUUUUUGAAUAUCUAUUCCAAGUCAGGUACUCUGCUAAUUGCUUUACAAAUGGGUUUCACCUGAAUACGUCGCAGCAGCUAUGACCUUCAUUUCAUAGAUCAGACUGAGACCAUAGUAGAUGAACUGACUUUUCCCCAAAGACACACAACAGGCAAGAGGAAGAACCGGGAGUUGAACCAGUCUCCAAAUCCUCUGAUCUAUUACCCUAUAGGAGUUUGCUUCUCUGACCUUAAGAAACAUGUGAUAUAAUGGGGGUUCGGUGGAGUGGUGUCAAAAGUACAAUGCAUUUGAAAUGCUGGAAAACCAUUAAGUGUCAGACGGUAGGGUGGUGCCUUCAUGGAGAAACAGGGAUCAACGAAGCAGGAGCUCCCUGUGUACUGGAUUAAUCAAGGAAAGAUUCAUGGCGGGUCCAGAACUUGAACUAAAAUCAGAAUGGAAUUUAAAUAUAUGGAGAAGAGAAGGUAAAGUAGAGAAACUUACGUUCAUUGAGUACAGAACAUUGGUCUUGGUAAAGAGAUUGGGUUUUGAAACUGGCAGAAUCUGGCACUGAAUUCAAACCUGCUAUUUUAAAGCUGUGAGAACUUUUGCAAUUUGCCCAACCUUUUGAGCCUCUCCACCACCAUAUGUAAAUAGGCAUAGUAAGACCUCUGGUAUCAGUUAAGAAUGCUUUCAUAUGCAAGUAAAAGACAUGUUGAAAAAUGGUGUAAAACAUAAGGACACAUAUGCAUCUCAGGGUUUGUUGAGUAAUUCAGUGGUGUUAUCAAGAACUCAGGCUCUUUUUGUACAUGCGGUCUCCCAUGCCCAGCUGUUAACUCCUCAUCCUUAUGUGUGAAAGAUGGCUGCCACAGAACCAGCCAUUGCAAUCACAUUCCAAGGCAGAAAGGAGGAGUAUGGGAAGUGCUAACACAACUUGUCCUUUUUAUCAGGAAACUAACUAACGCCUUCCCAAACACUCUUCUUUAGGAAUUUCUCCCCUUUUAUUUCAUGGAACAAAGCUGGGUCUCAUGUUGACUCUGAGCUGCAGGGAGAAUCUAUCUAUCUGCAGCUAUCUAGCCUGACUUUAUUCUCUCCAUAGUAGGAGGUAAGUAGAGGAAAACAGGUUGAGAAUGGCUUUUGGGAUAGCCAAACAAGAGCACUGGCCGUGCCUACCUCACUGGCAGUUUAAGGAUCCAGGAAAAAGAUGCAAGUAAAAGAGCAGUGAAGCACUCAUAGAAAGCAGCCAGGACAUGCUGCUCUGGGGAAACGUUGGACAAAACCAUGAUUAGGCUGGGUGCGGUGGCUCACGACUGUAAUCCCAACACUUUUGGAGGCCAAG
rnacentral:lncRNA from 10 species